GACGAACGCUGGCGGCGUGCUUAACACAUGCAAGUCGAACGGAAAGGCCCCUUUGGGGGUACUCGAGUGGCGAACGGGUGAGUAACACGUGAGUAACCUGCCCUUGACUUCGGGAUAACUUCAGGAAACUGGGGCUAAUACCGGAUAGGAAUCCUUGCUGCAUGGUGGGGGUUGGAAAGCUUCGGCGGGUUUGGAUGGACUCGCGGCUUAUCAGCUUGUUGGUGGGGUAGUGGCUUACCAAGGCUUUGACGGGUAGCCGGCCUGAGAGGGCGACCGGCCACAUUGGGACUGAGGUAAGGCCCAGACUCCUACCGGAGGCAGCAGUGGGGAAUAUUGCACAAUGGGCGGAAGCCUGAUGAAGCAACGCCGCGUGCGGGAUGACGGCCUUCGGGUUGUAAACCGCUUUCAGCAGGGGCGAAGCUUGUGGUGACGGUACCUGCAGAAGAAGCACCGGCUAACUACGUG
rnacentral:rRNA from 1 species